rnacentral:rRNA from 1 species
CCUACGGGUGGCAGCAGUGGGGAAUAUUGGACAAUGGGGGAAACCCUGAUCCAGCAAUGCCGCGUGUGUGAAGAAGGCCUGCGGGUUGUAAAGCACUUUCGGCGGGGAAGAAAAGUUGUGCGUUAAUACCGCGCGACCUUGACGGUACCCGCAAAGGAAGCACCGGCUAACUCCGUGCCAGCAGCCGCGGUAAUACGUAGGGUGCAAGCGUUAAUCGGAAUUACUGGGCGUAAAGCGCACGUAGGCGGGCAAUUAAGUCGGAUGUGAAAUCCACCGGGCUUAACCUGGGAACUGCAUCCGAGUGUGGGUGCCUAGAGUAUGGAGGGGGGAGGGGGAAUUCCAGGGGUGGGGGUGAAAUGCGUAGAUAUCUGGAGGACCAUCAGUGGCGAAGGGGGCUUCCUGGUUGUAUACGGACGCGGGGGUGGAAAAGCGGGGGUAGCGAACAGAAUUGGUACCCUAGUAGUC